UACGUAGGUGGCGAGCGUUGUCCGGAAUCAUUGGGCGUAAAGGGAGCGCAGGCGGGCAUGCAAGUCCAUCUUAAAAGCGCGGGGCCCAACCCCGCGAGGGGAUGGAAACUGCAUGCCUUGAGUGCAGGAGAGGAAAGCGGAAUUCCCAGUGUAGCGGUGAAAUGCGUAGAUAUUGGGAGGAACACCAGUGGCGAAGGCGGCUUUCUGGACUGCAACUGACGCUGAGGCUCGAAAGCCAGGGGAGCGAACGGG
rnacentral:rRNA from 1 species